rnacentral:rRNA from 1 species
CAGCAUGAGUUAUGUCAUGUUAUCGAUAUGUGAAUACAUAGCAUAUCAGAAGGCACACCCGGAGAACUGAAACAUCUUAGUACCCGGAGGAAGAGAAAGAAAAUUCGAUUCCCUUAGUAGCGGCGAGCGAAACGGGAAGAGCCCAAACCAACAAGCUUGCUUGUUGGGGUUGUAGGACACUCUAUACGGAGUUACAAAGGACGACAUUAGACGAAUCAUCUGGAAAGAUGAAUCAAAGAAGGUAAUAAUCCUGUAGUCGAAAAUGUUGUCUCUCUUGAGUGGAUCCUGAGUACGACGGAGCACGUGAAAUUCCGUCGGAAUCUGGGAGGACCAUCUCCUAAGGCUAAAUACUCUCUAGUGACCGAUAGUGAACCAGUACCGUGAGGGAAAGGUGAAAAGCACCCCGGAAGGGGAGUGAAAUAGAACCUGAAACCGUGUGCUUACAAGUAGUCAGAGCCCGUUAAUGGGUGAUGGCGUGCCUUUUGUAGAAUGAACCGGCGAGUUACGAUUUGAUGCAAGGUUAAGCAGUAAAUGUGGAGCCGUAGCGAAAGCGAGUCUGAAUAGGGCGUUUAGUAUUUGGUCGUAGACCCGAAACCAGGUGAUCUACCCUUGGUCAGGUUGAAGUUCAGGUAACACUGAAUGGAGGACCGAACCGACUUACGUUGAAAAGUGAGCGGAUGAACUGAGGGUAGCGGAGAAAUUCCAAUCGAACCUGGAGAUAGCUGGUUCUCUCCGAAAUAGCUUUAGGGCUAGCCUCAAGUGAUGAUUAUUGGAGGUAGAGCACUGUUUGGACGAGGGGC